AUUGAACGCUGGCGGCAGGCUUAACACAUGCAAGUCGAGCGGGGGAAGGUAGCUUGCUACCGGACCUAGCGGCGGACGGGUGAGUAAUGCUUAGGAAUCUGCCUAUUAGUGGGGGACAACAUCUCGAAAGGGAUGCUAAUACCGCAUACGUCCUACGGGAGAAAGCAGGGGAUCUUCGGACCUUGCGCUAAUAGAUGAGCCUAAGUCGGAUUAGCUAGUUGGUGGGGUAAAGGCCUACCAAGGCGACGAUCUGUAGCGGGUCUGAGAGGAUGAUCCGCCACACUGGGACUGAGACACGGCCCAGACUCCUACGGGAGGCAGCAGUGGGGAAUAUUGGACAAUGGGGGGAACCCUGAUCCAGCCAUGCCGCGUGUGUGAAGAAGGCCUUAUGGUUGUAAAGCACUUUAAGCGAGGAGGAGGCUACUUUAGUUAAUACCUAGAGAUAGUGGACGUUACUCGCAGAAUAAGCACCGGCUAACUCUGUGCCAGCAGCCGCGGUAAUA
rnacentral:rRNA from 1 species